rnacentral:lncRNA from 1 species
AAAUACCGGCUUUAAUUGAAAAGUGCAGCAUUGUUUUUGUCUAACUGACAUCGAUCUGAAAGUUUUAAUGCCAAAAAUCAUUUGAAAACUUUUGAUUCCGUUAUUUAAAUACUAGCUGUUUCACAUUCCAAUGUGGAUAUAAGAACCUUUACUCGUUUAGCAUGCUCAAGUGGAUCAAACUGACAACAUAAAUACGUUGUCUUAAUGACAAUUA